rnacentral:lncRNA from 1 species
AUUGACUCACAAUUUUUAGAGGCUGUACACUCCAUUUAGAGUUAUUUUAAAGGAUUGGCUGUACUGCUCCUGUUGUACAGAAAAGUCUUGGAGAUAGUGGGGUUCUACUAGGCGUGUGUGUUAAAAUGAGCAGAGGGAAUGGGAACCCCGAUGUCCAUCAGGUCUGUUGGGAUCACCCCCCUUAUUUACAUUUGUUUUUUAUUAUGGUUGGUUUACAGUGUUCUGCCCAUUUCUGCCGCACAGCAGAGUGACCCAGUCGUACACACACAUUCUUUCUCUCAGUUUACCCUCCACCUGUUGCAUCACAAGUGAUUGGAUAUAGUUCCCGUGCAACACAGCAGGAUCCCAUUGCCCAUCCACUGCAAAUGUAACGGUUUCAUCUACGACCCCCAGACCCCCAGUCCAUCCCACUCCCUCCCCCCAGCAAACACAAGUCUGUCCUCCAAGUCCAGACUUAAAACCCUUUUUAAGAUACCGUAAGUUACACUGAAACUUUGGUCAGCAGAAUGGGAAUUUUUUUUUUAGUAGAUAUCAUUAGAAAAAUAAAGUAAUUUUCCAGCUGUGGUUCCCAAGUUCCCCAAAUUUAUGUCUUUAACCCACAGCUCUCUUCAAGCUUUAGAUUUAACCACGCGUAUUUAUUUAACAGCUCUUGAUGGAGUCCUCAGUGUGUGCCAGGCGCCAUCACACAGGGACAGACAGGGAAGUCCAUGUGCUGAUUCCGUAGUAGGGUGGGAUGGGUGGGGUUGGGGGCAGGGCAAGAACAGGACACUUACUCGGGAGGGCUGGAAGCCGAGGACCUGCAGGGGAAGGAGGCGUGUGUCCCUGCGCCCUGAGAGGGCGUGACCAGACUCAGCUGAGGCUACCUGAGGCUGCGCUGGGAUGUCUCCCGACCUGCGGAACUCUUGAGCCCUCCCUACGCCCAGCCGGCUGCUUGAGCCACAGAUGGGGGAGCCUUCCGUGAUCCCUGUCUCCCCCGUUUGGUCCGUGGCACUCAGUCCUGCGUCCUGCUUUUCUUCGUGUCGCUGGUCCCUGCCUGGUACAGGCCUCUGGCUGAUGUUGCGGCUCUGACUCGUUCUGCUUCACUCCAGGCCCUUCUCCAUACGGUGGCCAGAAACAGAGACUGCCUCCCGCCCUUCCGUGAAAACCCUUCCGUGCCUUCCCCCGGCACUCGGGAAAUUCAGCGUGCUCCUCACCAGCCCUGUGCCAUCCUUCCUGCUGAAGCUCCCGUCUAGCCUCCCCGGGGCCACUUUUCAGAAGAACCGUCUGGCCAGAGGCUGCGUCUCUUCUCUGCACUCCUGCCUGCCCUGCCUGCGGCUUCCUCCCUCUUCCUCCGGUGGGCCUGGAGCCCCUUCCCACCCCGCCUGGUUCCUGCAGGUGCCCCUUACGCUGGCCAUGUUUAGAUGAGAAGCCACUCACCUGGCUGUGCUCCCUGGGAGGGAGGUGAUGAUUCAGAAGGCCCACCCUCCUUCCCGCAGGGCUGGGGUUUUUGCAUAGGGGAUUUUUCUGUCAGUUAUUUUUUCCUCACCUUUUGGAGUAUUAAAAGAGCCGGGGCAGUGGUGUGUGUGUGUGUGUGUGUUGGUGUGUGUGUGUGUGUGUGUGUGUCGGGGCGGGGGGGUAGGUGCGGAGACCGUACCUCCUGGGGGGGCUCUCUCAUCCCCCCAGCCGGCUUACACCUCUCCCCUCCAGAGCCGGGGCAGUGGUGUGUGUGUGUGUGUGUGUGUGUCGGGGCGGGGGGGGGGGGCGGGGACCGUACCUCCUGGGGGGGCUCUCUGAUCCCCACAGCCGGCUUACGC